CGCCGAACCCAUCUUCUCCUCCUCUCGUUGCCGCCCCUUCUUCUUCCUCUUCCCCUCCCUCUCGCGAUUCCGAACAGCGACGGGUCUCUCUUCUUCAUCCCGUCGCCGACCACGCUUCCUUCUCCUCUUCCCCGAGCCCGCCACCUCUUCUCCUCUCGCGACGCCCUGCCCAACCACGGGACGAGAAAGUGGGUUCCCUCUCCCACCGUCUCCGGCAGCACCCCUCGGAAAUGAUCAAACAGCACCGCGCGCUGCCCACCGUCCCCCGUGUACAGAGAUGCAUUCAGUAUCGUGGCACCGGCACCCGACCCAAUCACCACUCGCGCCAUGUUCGUCAGGAACGACACCGCCGCCUGCCAUAACCUCCGCCUACCCCUUUAGCCUUGCGUCGAUGCCAGCUCAUCACCAUUCGUGUCUGGUAGUGCUCGAGUCGGGCAUCCAUUGGCCGACCACAUGCUCAUGAUCUAUCUGUCGUCGAUUGAGGGAUUCUGGCGGCCUGAUUUGAGGUAUGCUCUUAACCUAGAUCAGGAUUCAAGAAUUUGGGUACUGGUUUGCUGGAUUGGUCAACAAAGAAUGAGUUGGGCAGUAGGUUGUUACUUCCGGCCAGAAAGGGUUGAAUUGGAGAAAUGGAUUUGGAGAUCAGCAACCUUCCCUUGCCCGACUACAUUUCUUCCAGCAACAAACACCACUGUUUCGUCAUAUUGCCCGCUAAGUAGCUAGCAAGAUUUGAUCGGUAGAACUACAAUCAUGUUGAAUUCCGGCUAACAAGUGAUGAUCGAGAAUAAUUAACAGCAAUAACUUCAUCUUGGUGAUGACUUUAGUUUCCAGCAGCAACUGCUCUAGUUGUGAUUCAACAGAGAAGGGCUAAAUUGGGACUCUGAUUGAGACGACAUCACGAUGUAGGAUUUCUGUUUGACCUGAUCUUCUUUUUAAGGCGGGUAUCUCUUGACUUAUUUUUUAUGAUAUUGUCACUUUGAUAUGCAUAGUAAUUUAUAGUUAGUAGCAAUGAUCAUGCUUAGGUUUUCCCUUGGUAUGCCACUAUUUGAUACUUAUUUUAUGUUAUGUUUGUUGUCUGUUAUGUAUCCAUGUUUAUAUCUCUUGAUUAUUGUCAUGUGUACCUUAGUUCCUAGAGGAAGUGACAUACUAGGCUUCAUUGAGUAUAGGACUAAUUUUCUGGAUUUUAUUAUUUGGCAUGUGUACUUAGAUCUAUGAUAUCUAGGUCAUAGUAUGAUUUAUUUUCCUGUUUGGUGCAUAUUAUGUGGAGGUGAUUAUGGUUAGGAUUUACAUGCUUAGUGUCAUGCACCAUCUUGCAUAAUUGCAUGUUGUGCGAUUGUCGGCUCCAUUAUUGUUGAGCACAUCGUCAGUUACAUGAUCUGCACAUACAUCAGGCAGGGUGUGUGUAGUUGUUCUGUCAGGCUCCGCUGGUCUGCUCAUGGGUAGUGAGACUGCAGCGUGGUAGCGAGCAGGGAUCCCUCCCCUUGAUUAUGAUACAGGGAGAUGAGAGCAUUGCGCUCCCCUCCUCUGAUUGAGGUAGGAGGAUAGGUGUACUUCGACAGCAUCCUAUCCACUCGAUCACUCAGGAGCAGUAAUGGUAGAGUGCACAGUUGUCAUAGCUCUACUCACUCGGUCUCACCAUCACGUGUGAGAUGAUUGACUAGUGUCAUAGGUAACACAUGUCAUUUUUGCAUCAUAUGCAUUGAUCGCAUUUAUUUUUUGUGAUUGCUGCACUUUGUUUGCUGCAUUUUGGUGGUUGCAUAUGAUCGACAUGUAUAUAGGAGACAUUAUAUAUCUGGUCUGACGACCCUUACAUCUGGAUAGGAGGUCCUGGUGAGUACAUUUCUUCUUCUGUUAUAUUUUCAGUUUACAUUUCUUAUUAUUGAUCAGAACACUGUACUCCAUGAUUAUUACUUAUAGUUAUAUCUUACUAGGCAUGUCAGCUUGAUAUCCGUUGAGUUCUUUGAACUCACACCGUUGCGCUAUUUCUAUUUUAGGUAACAGGUAGAUUUUUGGAGUCGCUUGGAGUAUCCUGUUUGCCGGUUUCCACGUCACAUCCGAAGACUUGUUUCUAGUUUUCAUUUGUACUUUAUUUGGUCUAUGUUUUCGGUUUACUUAGCAAUGUAAAUUUAGGUUUUGGUUCCGGAGUGUUGUGAUGUGGUGUUUUGUAUGGUUUGUUGUGUUGUGUAAGUCUAACCAUGUGUGGCUGAUGUAUACUUGUGGUUGUAUGUAUAUUUCAGAUUGUCACUGGUACAAGGGAGAUGUUAUCAGAUUUUUUGUCUGGAA